rnacentral:rRNA from 1 species
AACGAACGCUGGCGGCAGGCCUAACACAUGCAAGUCGAGCGCCCCGCAAGGGGAGCGGCGGACGGGUGAGUAACACGUGGGAACGUACCCUUUGCUACGGAAUAGUCUCGGGAAACUGGGGGUAAUACCGUAUGUGCCCUUCGGGGGAAAGAUUUAUCGGCAAAGGAUCGGCCCGCGUUGGAUUAGGUAGUUGGUGGGGUAAUGGCCUACCAAGCCGACGAUCCAUAGCUGGUUUGAGAGGAUGAUCAGCCACACUGGGACUGAGACACGGCCCAGACUCCUACGGGAGGCAGCAGUGGGGAAUCUUAGACAAUGGGCGCAAGCCUGAUCUAGCCAUGCCGCGUGAGCGAUGAAGGCCUUAGGGUUGUAAAGCUCUUUCAGUGGGGAAGAUAAUGACUGUACCCACAGAAGAAGCCCCGGCUAACUCCGUGCCAGCAGCCGC